CAAAGCCUCCUCAAGCACCGCUGCCUCCUCUCCAGGCUUCCUGCACUUCCUUUGCUGACAGGGUCUCAGCAGCCUGGCUGCAGGCAGGCUCAGCUGAUGUUACAAAGCGCUGCUGUCCAAAAGAAAAAAAGACAAAAGGCAAAUCAGAAAGGAGCUAUUUGUUGCCAGGCUGAAUUCCUCACAGGCGGAGGCAGGAUUCCUCUUGUUCCCAGAAAGGUGCAGAAAAUGCGCCCCGUACAUUCAUGUCUAUGACCAGGCUAUUGCAGGUCAGCGUGACUCACAAUCGUUACCCAGGUGUCUUCAGCUGGUUGGGAUUUUCCCCUGAGAGCAGCCUGAGAAUACUGCUUGCCGUCACAGGCCUUUGAUCCUUCCAGGAAACUCCACAGACCCAUUUAGCUUCCUCCCUUCUAGGACAUGGCCCGGGUUAACUGCCAAGAGGAUGAGCAGUGUAAGCCGUUCCUCAGCAAAUGCCAAUCCCCCUAAGAAAUGUGGAUUCCAGUGGGAUUUAGGCCCGAGUGCUGUUCUCAAGAGCACUGAAGUUCAGGGGAUCAGCAGCGAGACAAGAGCAGGCAGCUUGGCAGGCCUCCACCAUCUCCAGCACUCACCUGCCUUGCAAAUUGCUCUGCUUCCUCUAGGCCUUGGAUGAACUGCUGCUCUUGACCUGCGGCCUUCUCCUGUUACCCAUGAGGCUGGCACCUGAGGCAUUUGUGAGGAGGUCUAGAACAAAAUGACACAGGAGAAAUCCACAGAACCUGCGCUUGGGAUCGUUUGCCCCGUUUGGUGCUUGCAAGUGUCCGCAGCAGACGUGGAGUUGGCAGUUCAGUCAGCUAUGCGGCCCAGAAAGGAAAAGGCUCCGUUAGCUGAGGGAAACCAAUUUACUCAGCACCUGCAGGCCAGAAAUGAGGGUGCAGCAAAUGACUGAAAAACACAGUAUAUGAUACAGCACAUAUCCUCAAUGGGCAUGCCAGAGAUUUCAAACCCACAUCCAUGCAGGAAUGUGACCUUGCAGCUUUCGCACAAGCCAAAGGGAGUGGCUUUUUGCAAAGACACCCGGAGGUCAGUGUGGGACACAGAACUUUUUCAAGAGCCGGACUGACCUGGGAGCUGGUGGAAGCGGAGAGAAGGGGCAAAUGCGCCCAUGGGUGCACCCACACUCUGAGGGCUGCUCCAAGGGCACCCCCUGCCAUGCACAGGACAUGGGCACUGCCCCGUGCAGAGGACGUGUCCCUGCCAUAUUGACAACACCAACACUGCUCCAGUGUCAUGCAAACGCACAUGGGUGGUUUGUUAGUUGCCAUGUUUUUCCCACUACAAAAUUAUUCUUCCUUCUGUGAAUCCUGCAAUGUGCUGGUUGAUGUUAGCCCUGCAGGAAAUGGGCAGAAGUGACAGGCAUUGCAAUUCAGGGAACUAGUUUUAGUCAGAAGCAUUGGUGGCCAAAGUACAGGGUGUGUGAACUUGGUGCCCGUUCUGCGUUACUCUUGGAUCCUUUCAGCUACAGGUUAUGCACUGCAAGCGGGUUUUGCGCUGUUUUGGGACAGUGUGCGCCCUUUCAAAGGAGUCCUUUUUGUCGCCUGAUGUUGUAAAGUCUGUGGACAAAUGCAGGCAUCCUUUUUUAUCGCCCCUGCGAUUGUAGGGUUUGCAGACUGGAGCAGCACUGAUGAAAUGAUGGAGAGAAUCUGUGGAGCAGUUAGCAGGCCUUUCUUGCUGGUGUCAUCCCACAAAGUUUUUAAUGGUCCGAUGGGAAUCCCCCCGUGGAAAGAAGGAAUGAUGAAUCUGACUCCAUGUUCUCAGAAGGCUAAUUUAUUACUUUAUAAUACUAUAUUAUAUUAAAGAGUACUAUACUAAACUAUACUAAAGUAUACAGAAAGAAUACUUACUCAAUGCUGAAAAGAUAAUCAUGAAAACUCAUUGCUCUUUCCAGAGUCUUGACACAGCUUGGCACUGAUUGGCCAAAGAGUAAAAACAACUCACACCAGAAUCCAAUGAAACAAUCACCUGUGUGUAAACAAUCUCCAAACACAUUCAAAAGGAGCAGAACACAGGAGAAGAAAUGAGAUAAUAAUUGUUUUCCUUUUUCUCUGAAGCUUCUCAGCUUCCCAGGAGAAAAACCCUGGGCGGAGGGAUUUUUCCAGAGAAUGUGGAUUUCCAGAGAAUUCCACAGCUCUAUAAAUCUAGAAAUGUAACUCUAUGGAUAUAUAAAUAGAAGAUAGAAAUCUAUAAAUCUGUGUAUACACAAAGACUACACCUGCCUGAUGGUCACAGGUCUCCUCUUAUGCAGGGAGAUCCUUCUUCUCAUGCAUGGCAGCCCUCCUGGUAAGGUAGAUCAGGUGGGUAUCUGGGAAGCAGAGGGAACACUGGGUCAAUAUUGGCCUCUGUGCAUCUUUCCUUUUGGAAGUAACUGUCUUCUGUCAAAGACUGUAAAAGAUGGCCUGAAAGGCAGGCUCUCACUUGGCAAUUUGAAGCCUGCUCUUCAAAGAGCCAGGAUCCUUCCAAGUGUUCAAAACUUCUAAAGUUUUGAAGUAUCCCAGUAAACUCAAAGACCUCGCACUGCAAAGGGCACCCACGAGAGCUUGAAACAGAGACAGUCCCAGCUGCCACAAAGAAGCCCAGCCUUGUUCUUUGUGCUGACAGAGAGACCUCAGUGCUCACUGAAAUGGCUGAAGCUGAGGGCUGCUGGGAGCUGAGUUAUGAACUAGCACCGUUCCCUGCCAUCUACAACCUGCCCUCUGCAGUGAGCAACAGCUCGUCCAAAACAACCACCAGCUCUGGGAUGAACAGCUGUGUGAAAAAUGACCAGCUAAUAUUGGCUUUCACAUUAAUGUAUGAGCUUAUGCACAUUGUUCGUGAUUAUAAGUAUUUAGAAAUAGCAAUAAAUUAGAACUCUUUUUAGUUGCUUGUUAAUAUUGGAAUCUAUCAGCUUAAGUGUGCAGUGGGUUGCUCAUAGAAGUAGUAGUGUAAUGAAUAUAAUUUCUAUGUAUCACGUAUGGAAACAAUAGUGUGAUGAAUGUAUUGUGUUAUAGACCUUAGCAAAACAUAAGGAACAAAAAAAAAAAAAGAUUUUUGUGUAACUAAAAACAGUGUAAGGUUAUCCACAGACCAACCUGUCCAAGUGAUAAGAUAACCCUGACACAAACCAGAGCACCAGAGAACAAUUAGAGAAUACCAUGUUAAAUUUAAGAAGGACAUACUAAAUCCUUAUCAGAGGAUGUGAAACAGCAGAAUGGAGACACAAGAAGAAAUAAAAUAUAUUGAUCUGACACAGGCGAUAUCAUGCAGAUAAGCCUGAGUGUGAAGAAGUCCAACAAAGGAGUUGCCAAAACAUCAGAAAGUUCCCAAGAAGGUCUGAAUAAUGCAUGAAACACAUGAGUACGCAUGUAUCUCAUCAAUGUAACACUAUAGAGAUAAGACUGUCUCUAUACACCAGGUGUUCUUUGGCUGAUGGCCAGGAACACCCCAGCGCUGCAAAUAUUGUCCUUUGUUAUCCUCUUACUAUUAAACUGUUAAAAAAUCUAA